AACGAACGCUGGCGGCAGGCUUAACACAUGCAAGUCGAGCGCCCCGCAAGGGGAGCGGCAGACGGGUGAGUAACGCGUGGGAAUCUACCCAUCUCUACGGAAUAACGCAUGGAAACGUGUGCUAAUACCGUAUACGUCCUUCGGGAGAAAGAUUUAUCGGAGAUGGAUGAGCCCGCGUUGGAUUAGCUAGUUGGUGGGGUAAAGGCCUACCAAGGCGACGAUCCAUAGCUGGUCUGAGAGGAUGAUCAGCCACACUGGGACUGAGACACGGCCCAGUCUCCUACGGGAGGCAGCAAUGGGGAAUAUUGGACAAUGGGCGCAAGCCUGAUCCAGCCAUGCCGCGUGAGUGAUGAAGGCCCUAGGGUUGUAAAGCUCUUUCACCGGUGAAGAUAAUGACGGUAACCGGAGAAGAAGCCCCGGCUAACUUCGUGCCAGCAGCCGCGGUAAGAC
rnacentral:rRNA from 1 species